CUGAAAAUAUAUAAAAAAGGGCCGUAGCCAAGGUUUGAAAAUUAGUAAGAAUAUAAAACCUAAUAUUACCAAUACAUUUUAUAAAUUAUUCAACAUGAAUAAAUUUACUGAUUUAAGAAGUUAACAAAUGAUAAACGUAUGUAUUAAUGGAUAGGGCUUAAAACUGUGGCUAGAGGUUUUCUAAAAAAAAAAUUGUUACAGGAGAAUUAAGUCCUGGCGGGAAGCGGGCUUCGAUCCUACAUCGACCCGGACACCAUAAUACAACUUAUACUGACAGCGUCAAUUACCCCUACAACACUGGAACUGAUAUAUAAAUGGUGUCUUUUAUCAAUCAAUUUCUCUGCUAAAACGGCUACUAACAUGACCCGGCAAUAAACGUUAAAAAAGAUGAUAAAACGUCUAUAUCUAAUAGCUUAUUAGAUAAAUGGAUACGUAAAUAGAUACGUGGAUCUUUCGCAUGUUACAUGCAUUGUGAUGGCAGGGAGUCAGAAAUGGGAGGCAACCCCCUAGGCCUACAGUAAUGGUUUAACCCUUCCGCUCGUCAGCCAAUGGGAACUCAUCACGCUUACACGUCCACGGGCAAGUGGCCGAAUGGGCCAAAAACACGCGAAAUUGACGUCUGACGUCACGCGUAGAGUACGUGUUGUUUGCGCGUAGAGUACGCGUUGUUUGCGCGUAGAGUACGCGUCGAUUUUUCACGCGUAGAGUACGCGUACUCUACGCGUUAAAAUACGCACGUUUUUGGCCCUCCUGGCGUUCCAUAGAGUACGCGUUGUUUGCGCGUAGAGUACGCGUUGUUUGCGCGAGCUAUUCGACAGAAUUUUUUUAUGUUUUUUCGAAUUGCUCUCGCAGUACUUUGAUGUCAUCCACCACUGGUCGAAUCUUGCGGCGCCGCAUCACGUCGAACAAGCCUAGUAAUUCUGGUCGCCACCACGUAAAUUUGCUAAUAGGAUUACGUUGACAUUAUGUAACAGUCACGUAUUUUGGCUAGAUCGGGAGCUUUUAAUUGUUAUAGGCUUAAAAAAGGAGCCGCACUUAAUAUUGUAAACUUGAAGAUGAUUAAAUGUUUAUUCUUCUGUCAAUAGACACGGUGUAAUAUAAGAAUCCAAUACAUUUAGGCAUAGGCCUAUGGCAGACACUUAAAGCGACCUACAUUGCUUUAUCCUAUACAUUUUACAUAGGUACUUGCAUUCCCCUGGGAUCGAACUCAAAACCUUACGUUGUUAACGCAAUGCUCUUACCAUUGAGCCACAGGAAAGCUAUUUAAUCAUCAAUAUUGUUUGGAAUGAUGUGUAAACGAUGUCAACACAGCAUGGAUAUACUCAUUACUGACGUGAAGUGAGGCCAAAGGGAAAAAAAAUUGGAUAACGUUCUCUGAACGUUCUCAUAACGUUUCUGGUUUCCAGAAAGUCUUUUAAGGUUUGUUCUCAUAACGUUUCUGGUUUCCAGAAAGUCUUUUAAGGUUUGUUUUUGGUUAUCUUUACGGAAAUAAAACGUUUAUAAAACCGGCUAACCUAAAUAAGCCAGUCUUAUUUGCUUAUCUUGUUUUAUAGAACAGCCCUCAGUGAAUCUGUAAGCUUUGAUACUGCCAUGAAACCAAAGAAGAAGAAAUGUACGGUGAAGUCUACCUUGUCCCAAAUGGCGCACUCCGGUCUUGUGGACAUCCUCCGAGUCCACACUUGGUGACGUCAAGAAAUGCAGACCUAUAGGGCUCUAGGCACAAGGCCACAAGGGUACGUGGUAGUGCAUUUUGGGGAAGACUUGAGGUCAUCACGCCGGAAAAAGCAAGCGGGGCUUUGUAGUCACUCUCGCGGUACUUCUUUGUCAUUCGCUGAUCAGUCUGCGCAGCGCCACGUGAAAUCUAUCACACUUGUUGUCCUAUUGUAGUUAUUUGGGACUGGAGUCUAAAGUAAAGUAAAGUUAAUAGUCUAAAGUAGUCAUAGAAGUUAUCAUAAAUACAAUUUUGAACAGAAUCAGAAGACGCUAAAUUGUUAAGAGCCUGUGAAUUGAAUAUCAAUAAAACACAUACCACACCAGAAUGACAGUUAGGCAACCUGUAUUAACUUCACAGGGUGAAACACACAUACAAGGAAAAAAACACAUUUAUGAAAAUAACAAACUAAAAUAAUAAAGUGCGCACGUAAACAAAACUCUCUCUUUUCGAGAUGGGUCUGGCUGCAGACCAGAUGCACUGUCAGCGGCGCAUGCGCACUCCGACACAUGCAGUCUCAGCCGCGCAUGCGCACUCAAACAAUCUGUCAGACACGUGUGUGAAUGAAAUGCACCUACAGGCCAAUUAUAAGUAUAUUUAUUAAAUAUUCAAUUUAUUUAUUUAUUCUCAUACAAGAUUAAGUCGAAGUAAAAGUGUUAUUAUGAAUUAUUUGACAAAUAUAAUCGAAAACGUUCUUUAACAUUAUCAGACGACUGUUGUAAGUAUAUUGAUUUCAUUCAUACAGUAUAAGAUAGAUGUAAAGUAUCGUUUUAAUAUAUAAGAUAAUGUUUUCGAAACCUAACUUAAUCCUUAUAAUCAAUGGUAGAUAUAUCGCAUCUAUGAUACUUGGUUAACGAUACAUGUUCUUCAUACAGUAAUUUAUUGAAGAACUAACGUUAUCUAAAUUAAUUUGUAGCGUUGCUUGAAAACACACAGGAAAGAGGUGACCUGCACUAUAUAGUUAUUUUUUAGACAAUGUGUUACUCAACAUUAUUUAAUAUGACGUUGAAAUCUAUCAAAUAUAGGGAUGUAACGAUUCACUCAGCUCACGAUGCGAUUUAUUCAAGAUUUAUUUUUACAAAAUGAACAACUUCCCUUGUCUUAUUUCUUAAAUGCUUCACGUUUCUUUGUUUAAUAAAUUAUGUUUUAUUUCAAACAACAAAACUAACCUGCAAUAUUAAAACAAAUUAAUAUUAGAACAAUUAUUUUUAAAUAAACAAACUAAUACUGUCUGGGCCUUUCUUAGAUUUUAAGGCAUUUUUACGAAAUAUCAGCAAGUCCACGUUUAGUUUUGCAGUGAACAUGGUGGCCCCUGCUGUUUAAAAAUGUUAGGGUUAAAAAUGUAUUUCCAUUCAGUUCACACCUCAACCGAUUUGAAUCGUCACACAUUAUAAUCGAUUUUCAAUCGGCUCACAGUGAAUCGUUGGAACCCUAACCCUAUAAAAUAGCUAAACAAAAACAAAAGAAUAUUAUACACAUCAGAAUGAUUUUCAUUUCUAUCUAAAUUUUUGCUUACAGAUGCAUCAGUCAAUAGUCCUAGCAGGUGUAAAGCACCUGAUACCACAGUGCACUUCUUGUUGCACAUCGUUUCAUUCCCCUUUUUGCCCUUCACUGAAUCCAUUGACGAAAACGACUAUUCAAGGCAUUUAAAACGUACUAUUGCGCAAAUGAGGGAAUUAUCAUGUUUUAAUAAUGUUCAUUUCCAUUAUAGUUAAUGUUUUAUUAAUGUUUAUUUUCUGGCAAUGAUGCAUUAGAGUUUAACCGUAUACCUCAUAUUAUGAAGUAUUUAAAAGCUGUUUGCAAUACUAAAUGUGCUUUCAACAGGAGAUGUGAGAUAGAGGGGGCAUCUUUGGCUGCAGUUGUGUAGGGGGUGGGGGAAGGUAUGUGGAAUGUAUGUUGUUUUCUCAGGAGUGUUUUGCAGGAACCAGAUAAGGCAGAAGUUGGUGAUUGGGGUAAACAAGGGGGAUCCCGGCCCCCCAGCAGAAGAGAGAUCUGCUUGAAAUAACAAUAAAUGCUGUGAAUAUGUGCUGUGGGGGUUGUUGUUCCUUGGAAGGACAGAGGAGUGUUGUCCAGCAACCCAGCGCGCUGUAUUUUGUUAUAAUCUGAUUAAUAAACGUCAAUACUUAUUAGAGAUUGCCUACCUUCAAUUUUUGAACAUGCAGGACACUUAAAAGUCCAACAAUUACUACCAAAAAUCUUUCAAUCCUUGUGUCAUUAGAUCAUUUUCUUUCUAAUUUAUUAAUUAAGUUCUUUAUAUAUACUUUUACCCCUGAAUAAAAAACAAAAAAUUAUCCAAUAUUUGUGUAUGUCUGAGAGUUUAAUAAUGGUUGUGUUAAUGAGUUUGAUAGCAUGCAUGUGAAUGCUUUGACAGUAUGUGAGUGAUAGUAUAGUAGUGGUGUAUGAGAGAGAGUUCGAUUGCUUGUAUGAGAGGAAAAUUUGAAAUAUGUCUUUAACGGUUGUCAUGACUAACUUGGUAAACUUGUGCUGUAUUUUCUCAACUAACAGGAAGAGCCUUUUGACGGACAGGUAACUUCUCAGGUAACUCCUCAGGAAAAGUACCAGCAACCUUAAAAAGGUAGCCGUAAAGGAGCGUGUCAUGACGGAUCUUCCAAACUGCCAGUCAGUGGUACUUGGAGAACUCUGGGGAUAUUCUUGGAUCAGUUCAGCUUCCACUUAUAAUGUGCUAGAGGAUGAUGAAGCUGCAGAGGCCUUGGAACAGUUCUUCAGUACAGAUGUCAUAGAACAUGAUAGUGUAGAGCCUCUGAUGUCUGUUUUUACUUUUAUGCAGGACAUGCAUACAUUUUUAGAGAAUGUGGUGGACAAAAUGCAUCUUAGAGUCUUUUGUCGAGUACAAGAUUGAACAGGGUUGUCGUUUUUUGUUUUGUUCUAUGAUUUUAUGUUACAUUUUUUCACAAUGCCACAUAUGACCCGUCAUAUAUAUAUAGUAUGUCUAUAUAAUAAAACUUUAUCAUUAAA